rnacentral:siRNA from 1 species
UAGUGAUGGCCUAGAGAUCGAGUA